rfam:Stegodyphus mimosarum contig117728, whole genome shotgun sequence.
AAAAAGGCCCUUUUUAGGGCCACAAUUUAAAAAUACAAGGGACUUU